ensembl:lncRNA LINC02490 long intergenic non-protein coding RNA 2490
GCUCUCUUCUGCUCUUCUGCCCUGUGAGGAUGCAGCAAGAAAACCCUCACCAGAUGCCAGUGCCUUGAUCUUGGACUUCCCAGCCCCCAGAGCUGACUAGAUCGCUAGCUGGCCCUUUGAUUUAACUCUUCAUCUACCAUAGUCAGGUGCCACAGCUUGAUGAACGAGAUAGAAUCGCACAAUGGGAUCAAAGGGACAGCCAGCCCAGUUUAUUUCCAGAGGAAAAGCUUACCAGGACACAAAGGAGGAAAAAAGACUCGGCUUGAAACCAAUUCUUCCCUGAAGUACAAAUGUAAGAGAAAAGACAUCACCAGGAGCAGUUACGUCUAUGGCAAUCGUAGCUCUGUAAGCCUGGCCUGCUCACGUGGAAGUAAAUUAUUUGAUGAGCUGGGGAAAUAUAAGCAGUUUGUGUGGAUUAAAAGGAAAUCCUCACCCAAACUAUAUCUUUAAAAAUUAUCUAGAUAAUUCAGGUGAAAGCAGGCUUUCUCCCUUGUGAAUUAUUAAAGUAAUUGAUUACAUCCAUCUGCUCCUCGUCAGAGAAUUCAAGGGCCAAAUGCUUUUUCGGCGUCUCCUUUUCUAUCCUUCCCUUUCAUGUGACUUA